rnacentral:misc_RNA from 1 species
UCAAAAUGGUGAUCAUUUGAUAGUCAGUUAAAUGAAUGCCACUUGGAUUAUUGUUCUCAUCUGUGCUAUGCGACAAAAUGAAAUUAGCUCAUUUCAACUAGUGAGCACUCAAAUAUUGAUAAUGAUGGAUGGCAGUUACAUACGUCACUGGUGUUGGAAUCUAUUAAAAGGAACAUGUCUCAUCUCUUUGCGGUUGAACCUUAUUGAUUAAAAGUUGCAAAUCAUAACAGUUAGGGAUUAGAUCAGCAUCAAUGAGUUUGUAAUAUGAAUUGCAUUGUUAUCAUGAUGGAUUAAUCUCUAGAGAUGGUG